GUCCGUAUGGUCUAGUGGUUAGGAUGGCAGAUUGCAAAUCUGUAGAUCCCUGGUUCAAAUCCGGGUACGGACU
rfam:Metarhizium robertsii ARSEF 23 MAA_Scf_4, whole genome shotgun sequence.